GUCUACGGCCAUACCACCCUGAAUGUGCCUGAUCUCGUCUGAUCUCAGAAGCUAAGGGUCGGGCCUGGUUAGUACUUGGAUAGAGUCUGGAGGCAGACAGUGGUGGACU
rnacentral:rRNA from 1 species